AUACGUAGGGUCCGAGCGUUGUCCGGAAUUACUGGGCGUAAAGAGCUCGUAGGUGGUUUGUCGCGUUGUCCGUGAAAACUCACAGCUCAACUGUGGGCGUGCGGGCGAUACGGGCAGACUGGAGUACUGCAGGGGAGACUGGAAUUCCUGGUGUAGCGGUGGAAUGCGCAGAUAUCAGGAGGAACACCGGUGGCGAAGGCGGGUCUCUGGGCAGUAACUGACGCUGAGGAGCGAAAGCGUGGGGAGCGAACA
rnacentral:rRNA from 1 species